AUGUCUAUCUGCCUCGCCAAUCACAAGCGGGUAAGGGGGACCCACCAGGGCCUAGCGCUCCUUUUUGCCACGUGUGUUUUCUUGGAGCAGUCCUGGUUUGCUUCAGGCGGGCCCAUUAGUGCCCACGAUCCAGAACCCCCCAGGUCAGGGACUUGGGCUUCUGUUCUCCGAGACGAGCCGGAUUCCAAGCUGGAGAAGCUAAUCCAACAGGGAAGAGAAGAUGCCAAUAAAUUCACCGAAACAUUGUUUGGGAAACUCACCAUCGUUGACAGAACAGAGGAGGGCCGGGAGAUUUCGAAAUUUCUUGAGUAUGUCUCUAGGAAUAUUAGCAGGCGCUUGGAUAGCCUGCAGGAAGAGUUACCUGAUGAGGUCGUGGAAGCUUUUGAUCUGGUUUUCGGGGUGCCAUACCAGGUUGCGGAGAAGGCUAUCACUGCCCUGUUUGACCUGCAGAGACAUAGAAGGCAUAACAUAGAAGAGCUUGGCAAAGCAUUGCAAUCUGCCCUGGCGGGUUACGUGGACCCCGUCCUGGAGAGGGUGGGUCCGUACGCAGCAACCGUGCGCAGUGCCGUCGUCGCCAGAGCUCAGGAGAUCAACCAUGAGAUAGAUGAGAAGCUGCCGCAGCAAAUGCAAGCUCUGAGAACCCAGUUGGAACAGCACAUUAAGAAGCUGCAAGAAUUGCAGGCAACCCUUCAGCCUUAUCUUGACCACAUCCAGCAGCUGAUCAGAAAAGGAGCGGAGACGAUCCACAAGCACUUACUGAAGCCGUACAUUGGUCCCAUUGUGCAGUUGCACCAAAAGUACAAAAAGGACUUUAGGACGUGGUCUAGAGCCCCAGUGUUUUCCUCAAAUCCAUGAUUAUUUCUCUCACAUGUAUAUGAGGAAGCAAUCUCCCCCAGCAUCUAAAGAGAGAUCAGAAGGGAAAAGCUUACAUUGGUUUUUGUGUCUUCAAGACCUUGUCUGGGAGGUAGGGCAGGUGUGCAAGUCUUCUCCAGAUGGGAUAAUAAAGGAGACGUUCCUAACAACCUCUGUUCGAUGCGUGGCCUGUUUCUCUUUAACCCUCCUCCUUCUGUUGGCUGUUGUACCUGCUUUGGCUUAUUUCCUCCUUCAUCCCAAGCCAUUUUAUUUCUGUGCUAUGUCUUUUUUUAAAAAGAAAUUCGUGUCCAAGGACAGGGACUGAUAGAUGGGGUGCCUGUUUCCCCUCAACUGUCUUCUUGCUGUUGCUGUUGCAAAGCCAUCUUCUUCUCAGAAGCAGAAGUGAAGGGCUCCAAUACACCUGUAAUCCAAUAUGUGGAUUAUGUUGUACCUAUAACAGUUGGGUAGGGGGAGCUCAGCCUCCUUGGCCUGUGCAGGAGAAAUGAGGAGGGGUCGCUUUGACUCUCCCUACCAUAAAGCUACUCUUUGUGUUUCAAAGGAAGCCUUCAUUGGCACAAGUGACUGGAGGGUCUCCUGGAACCAGCACCUUGUUUCGUGUUUACUGGUUGCUAAUCUUCACUGGAAUACCAGGAGAUACAUUAUAUGUCCUUUGGUGCUUUCUUCCCUAAAAGAUCCUGACCACUACAAACUACCAACGUAUCAGGGAACUGAGACACUCCCCCACCCCACCCCCAAACAGUCUUGCCAUGGAGAUAGAGCUGGGUCUAUGAAUUCCCAUGUGUCAAUAGAUACUUCUUCUUUGGCGGUCACUCAUAGCCGAAUAAGAUUGUCUUCCAUAAACACGGUUUUAGCAAUGAGUCUGUAAGUGACUGUGGAGGCCAAUUCGGGAUCCACACAUCCUUCCACAGUGGGGACAUAGUUUUCUGGGCGGGAGUUGAUCACGGUGUGGGUUUGCCAAACUGUGACUUCCUCUCAGCAUGUUUCUCCCUUUUGUCCUGACUUUGAGCAUCUUCAAAGCCC
rnacentral:lncRNA from 1 species